GUUAGAGGCAGGUAGCCUAGUGGUUAGAGGCAGGUAGCCUAGUGGUUAGAGGCAGGUAGCCUAGUGGUUAGAGGCAGGGUAGCCUAGUGGUUAGAGGCAGGGUAGCCUAGUGGUUAGAGGCAGGGUAGCCUAGUGGUUAGAGGCAGGUAGCCUAGUGGUUAGAGGCAGG